rnacentral:RNase_P_RNA from 1 species
UGAGCAGGCUGGACGGCCGCGCCGCCUUCGGGCGGCGAGGAAAGUCCGAGCUCCAUAGGGCAGGACGCUUCGUAACGCGAAGGCGGGGAAACCCGACGGAGAGUGGCACAGAAAACUACACAGCCCACGUCCCGGUAUGCCGGGGCCGGCAAUGGUGAAAAGGUGCGGUAAGAGCGCACCAGCGGUCUGGUGACAGGCCGGCUGGCAAAACACCCGUCCGGAGCAAUUCCAAAUAGGGGAGCCAUGGAGUGGCCCGCUCCGCUCCCGGGUAGGAAGCUAGAGACGUACGGCGACGUACGCCCGAGAGGAAUGGCCGUCUCGGAAUCCUUGCGGAUUCUAUGACAGAACUCGGCUUACAGGCCUGCUCAUUUU